GGAGAGGUGGCAGAGUGGUCGAAUGCGCUCGCUUGGAAAGCGGGUAUAGGCUUAACACCUAUCGGGGGUUCGAAUCCCCCCCUCUCCGCCA
rnacentral:tRNA from 1 species